rnacentral:rRNA from 1 species
UACGGAGGGUGCAAGCGUUAUCCGGAUUUACUGGGUUUAAAGGGUGCGCAGGCGGAUAUGUAAGUCAGUGGUGAAAUCUCUAGGCUUAACCUGGAAAUUGCCGUUGAUACUAUAUAUCUUGAAUGCUGUGGAGGUAAGCGGAAUAAUGUCAUGUAGCGGUGAAAUGCUUAGAUAUGACAUAGAACACCUAUUGCGAAGGCAGCUUACUACGCAGAUAUUGACGCUCAUGCACGAAAGCGUGGGGAUCAAACAGG